AUCAAGGUCUGUGCUCUCAUUUUCGUAUCUGUGGUUACGGCCGUGUUAGUGUAUUUGUUUUCCAGCGGAUGCGUUGAACGAGCGUGUUUGAGUAGGGAAUGAUCAUUAAUUUCAGGAUCCUAGAGAAACUUGCAUAUAUUAUGCCGUCAGAAGUAGGUUCAAGCACUCUGCGUCCCAUUAUACGAAUAUCAAUUUGUCUGGCAGAACAUUAGACAGGGAUCAAGAAGGGAAAAUACAGCAUACGCUCCAAAAAAGAGAAUGGUCG
rnacentral:misc_RNA from 1 species